rnacentral:misc_RNA from 1 species
CGCUGCGAACCAAGCUCAGCCGCCUUUGCCGCAGAAACCAGCGACAACGAUCCGCGCGGACGCGCCAGAAGAAUUCCGCUUUCCUCGAACGUCUCGCGGAUGCCGCCGAUGCGAAUGGCCGCGGUAUCGAUAUCGAGACCUCCGCGAUUGGCGACGAGCGCCGGAUCGGCCGCAAUCUCCCGAUCAUUCGGAUCCAUGCUGCCGCCGGNCAGCGCACCGGAGCUGAACUCGAUCUCACGGUUACGCUGGACCAUGAAGAUUUCCAUGCCGCCGGCUGCUUCGCGCAGCAACAGCACAGUGGAAGCUGUUCGCAGAGCUUUCGACUUGUCCGGUACGCUCUUAUCGCCGCCCGUUUGUCGAUGCGCCCGACGCGCGACAGGAGAUAGUCCACCUCGCUGCGGGCCAGCGCGCUCAUGCUCGACCCCGGCUUGCGUUGCGCGUCCGACGCGAUCUUGCCGCGCUUUUUC